CAUUGCUGCAGCAGCAUUAAUGUGUGUCCAAGAGAGUGCUGCAGGUCGAUCCACCAUGCUAAGUAGUGACAGUAAUAAGAGCUUAAUCGAUUCGAAGCAGCCAGCUUAUUUCAAUGUAAAAAGUAAAGCUGAAGAAGGAAUGUUAUCAGUGUUAAGAGGUGACAUAUGAACUCUUUUAAAUCUAUAUGCAUAUUUGUCACGCCAAGAACUCUGUUCUUUAUAGAAGAUGAAAAUAUGAAACGCUCUUUGAUCAGCAUCAUGCGCCUCCGCCGCUCCCUCUCCACAUGUACCCAAACCCUUAAAUCCCUCUCCGUCCCCCGCUCCCGCGCCCUCUCAUGGAUCCCGACGGGGAAGCUCCAACAAACCCUAGCCUCGUCGAUCGCCGUGUCGGGGACGGGGCUCCACUCCGGCGCCGGCGCCACCGCGCGGCUCCUCCCGGCGAUGGCCGGAGAGGGGCGGUACUUCGUCGCCGGCGCCUCCGCGCGGGCGAGGAUCCCCGCGGCGGUGGAGCACGCCGUGGACUCGCCGCUCUGCACCGCGCUGUGCCGCGGCGGCGCGCGGGUGCGCACCGUGGAGCACCUCCUCUCGGCGCUCGAGGCAAUGGGCGUCGACAAUUGCAGGAUCGAGAUCGAGGGCGGCGAUGAGGUUCCUUUAUUAGAUGGAUCGGCAAAAGAAUGGGUGGAGGCAAUAGAGCAUGUUGGCUUAUGCGCUGCUGAGGAUUCUAAUGGUAAUAAUAUGGAUAAGCUAGUAGCUGAACUCCAUGUGCCAGUAUAUUUAUGGCGGGAUGGUGCUUUCAUUGUUGCCUUUCCUUCUUCAAAGAUUCACAUCACCUAUGGAAUCGAUUUCCCUAAGGUUCCUGUGAUUGGCUGCCAGUGGUUCUCUUCUUUCCUUGAUAGUUGUAUGUAUGCAAAUGAAAUAGCUUCUUCCAGAACUUUUUGUAUUUAUGAAGAGGUUGAAAAAAUGCGCAGCGCUGGGCUCAUUAAAGGAGGAUCAGCUAGUAAUGCUAUUGUUUGCAGUAUAACUGGUGGUUGGUUAAAUCCGCCUCUUCGCUUUCAUGAUGAACCUUGUCGGCAUAAGCUUUUAGAUCUUGUGGGUGACAUCUCUCUUUUUGCACAGAAUGGUAAUCAAGGGCUUCCACUCGCUCAUAUUAUUGCAUAUAAGGCUGGGCAUUCAUUGCACACCGGAUUCGUACGGCGCCUUCGAGAAUAUGCUGAUGUAUAAAAGAGAAAGCUUGACUUGGAAAAUCAAAUUGCUAAUUAUGCUACUUGAUUGGCAUCUACCUUCAGUUGAAGUUCAUGACAAUUUGAAGCAUAUUUUGCCAGAAUUUUUUAUGAUGGUAGUCUCAACAGCCUCUGAACUUUACAAGAGCUCUGUUAAAUAUUCUCGCACUGAUAGUGACCUUUGAGGAUGUUAGCCAGCACUGAGGAGGAAUCACAUUCAAACCCUAUCCUUUUGGUCUACAACACUCUCACGGACUUAGAAAUUUUGCUCACAAAAUUCAUGUGGCGCCUACCUUUCUCAGUAAAGAUGGAUAAGUUUUGCUCUCUAUUUGAUAUCCUGAAUCUUCGCGUCCUACGACUAAGUGCAAAAAAGAGAAACCGCGACACUAUGCUUCUGCUACUUCUGCAUUAUCUUAUGGACAAUUUUAAAUUUGCAUAUCUGUGGUUUAACUCAUUUUUUACUUUGUUAUUCUUUGAUUUAACAAGUCAUUCUUGGCUAUUCUGCG